GGCGGAUGUAGCCAAGUGGAUAAAGCGGU
rnacentral:tRNA from 2 species